GACGAACGCUGGCGGCGUGCUUAACACAUGCAAGUCGAGCGGUAAGGCCCUUUCGGGGGUACGACGAGCGGCGAACGGGUGAGUAACACGUGGGUGACCUGCCCUCAGCUCUGGGAUAAGCCUGGGAAACCGGGGUCUAAUACUGGAUAUGACUCCAUGACGCAUGUUGUGGGGUGGAAAGCCUUGUGCGGCUGAGGAUGGGCCCGCGGCCUAUCAGCUUGUU
rnacentral:rRNA from 1 species